rnacentral:rRNA from 1 species
UACGUAUGGAGCAAGCGUUAUCCGGAUUUACUGGGUGUAAAGGGAGCGCAGGCGGCUUUGCAAGUCUGAUGUGAAAGGCCGGGGCUCAACCCCGGGACUGCAUUGGAAACUGUAAAGCUAGAGUGCCGGAGAGGUAAGCGGAAUUCCUAGUGUAGCGGUGAAAUGCGUAGAUAUUAGGAGGAACACCAGUGGCGAAGGCGGCUUACUGGACGGCAACUGACGCUGAGGCUUGAAAGCGUGGGGAGCAAACAGG